UCUGGUUGACCCUGCCAGUAGCAUAUGUUUGUCUCAAAGAUUAAGCCAUGAAUGUCUAAGUACGCACCGCUGGUACAGUGAAACUGCCAAUGGCUCAUUAAAUCAGUUAUGGUUCCUCUGGUCGCUCGCUCCUCUCCUAUUUGGAUAACUGUGGUAAUUCUAGAGCUAAUACAUGCUGACUGGCGCUGACCCCCUUCGCGGGGGCGGGGGGAUGCGUGCAUUUAUCAGAUCAAAACCAACCGGGUCAGCUCCCUCCCGGCCCCGGCGGGUUUGGUGACUGUAGAUAACCUCGGGCCGAUCGCACGCCCCCCUCACGGCGACGACCCGUUUGAAAGUCUGCCCAUCAACGAUGGUAGUUGCCGUGCCUACCAUGGUGACCACGGGUGACGGGAAAUCAGGGUUCGAUUCCAGAGAGGGAGCCUGAGAAACGGCUACCACAUCCAAGGAAGGCAGCAGGCGCGCAAAAUACCCACUCCAGACCUGGGGAGGUAGUGAGGAAAAAAUUACAAUACCCUUUCUUUCAAGGCCCUGUAAUUGGAAUGAGUCCACUUUAAAUCCUUUAACGAGGACCCAUUGGAGGGCAAGUCUGGUACCAGCAGCCGCGGUAAUUCCAGCUCCAAUAGCGUAUGUUGAAGUUGCUACAGUUAAAAAGUUCGGAAAAAAAAAAGUUCGCAGUUGGAUCUUGGGAGCAGGCUGGCGUCUGCCCAGACCCUUGCCUCUCGGCGCCCUCUGGAUGCUCUUAGCUGAGUGUCCAGCGGGGCCCGAAGCGUUUAUUUUGAAAAAAUUAGAGUGUUUAAAGCAGGCCCGAGCCGCCUGGAUACCGCAGCUAGGAAUAAUGGAAUAGGACCGCGGUUCUAUUUUGUUGGUUUUCGGAACUGAGGCCAUGAUUAAGAGGGACGCCCGGGGGCCUUGGUAUUGCUCCGCUAGAGGUGAAAUUCUUGGACCGGCUCAAGAGGGAACAGAGCAAAAGCAUUUGCCAAGAAAGUUUUCAUUAAUCAAGAACAAAAGUCGGAGGUUCGAAGACGAUCAUAGUUCCGACCAUAAACGAUGCCGACUGGAGAUGCAGUGGCGUUAUUCCCUUCACCCGCCAGGCAGUUUCUGGGAAACCAAAGUCUUUCGGUUCCGGGGGAGGGAGGGGGAGUAUGGUUGCGAAACUGAAAAUUAAAGGAACUGACAGAGGGCCACCACCAGGAGUGGAGCCUGCGGUUUAAUUUGACUCAACACAGGAAACCUUACCCGGCCUGGACACGGACGGGAUUGACAGCUUGAUAGCUCUUUCUGGAUUCCGUGGGUGGUGGUGCAUGGCCCUUCUUAGUUGGUGGAGCGAUUUGUCUGGUUAAUUCCGAUAACGAAGGAGACUGGCAUGCUAACUAGUUAUGCGACCCCCGAGCACUCGGCGUCUCCCAACUUCUUAGAGGGACAAGUGGCCUUCAGCUACCCGGGAUUGAGCAUCUAAGGUCUGUGAUGCCCUUAGAUGUCCCGGGCUGCACGCACACUACACUGACAGGCUCGUGUGUUCCUACCCUACGCCGCAGGGGCAGGUAACCCUUGAACUCCAUUUGUGAUGGGAAUUGGGGAUUGCAGUUAUUCCCCAUGAAGGAGGAAUUCCCAGUAAGUGCGGGUCAUAAGCUUGCGUUGAUUAAGUCCCUGCCCUUUGUACACACCGCCCAUCGCUACUACGGUUUGGAUGGUUUAGUGAGUCCCUCGGAUCAACCCUGCCCGGUCCGCCUAUGGCCCUGGCGGAGUGCUGAGAUGACUGUCGAACUUGACUAUCUAGAGGAAGUAAAAGUCGUAACAAGGUUUCCGUAGGUGAACCUGCGGAAG
rnacentral:rRNA from 1 species